UUGGCCGAAGAUGGGAAGAAAAAAAUCUAGCCAAAAUCCUCACAAACUUGCUUCAAUCCACUUCCAAAUUUGAUCAUCCAUUAGAGGGCUUUGAUCCUAGCUUGGAAGAGGGGGCUGUUCAUCGGUUUUCUUGGAGGAAUUUCGGUCAAGAUUUCUGCCCUAAAGCUGUCCAACUAAGUUCUUGAGGUUUGGAAGUGGAAGUUCUGAGGCUUAAUUAGUGACCCCC